rnacentral:rRNA from 1 species
GUUGGUGGGGUAACGGCUCACCAAGGCGACGAUCCCUAGCUGGUCUGAGAGGAUGACCAGCCACACUGGAACUGAGACACGGUCCAGACUCCUACGGGAGGCAGCAGUGGGGAAUAUUGCACAAUGGGCGCAAGCCUGAUGCAGCCAUGCCGCGUGUAUGAAGAAGGCCUUCGGGUUGUAAAGUACUUUCAGCGGGGAGGAAGGGAGUAAAGUUAAUACCUUUGCUCAUUGACGUUACCCGCAGAAGAAGCACCGGCUAACUCCGUGCCAGCAGCCGCGGUAAUACGGAGGGUGCAAGCGUUAAUCGGAAUUACUGGGCGUAAAGCGCACGCAGGCGGUUUGUUAAGUCAGAUGUGAAAUCCCCGGGCUCAACCUGGGAACUGCAUCUGA